AUUGAACGCUGGCGGCAGGCCUAACACAUGCAAGUCGAGCGAGCGGCGGACGGGUGAGUAAUGUCUGGGAAACUGCCUGAUGGAGGGGGAUAACUACUGGAAACGGUAGCUAAUACCGCAUACCAUCGGAUGUGCCCAGAUGGGAUUAGCUAGUAGGUGGGGUAACGGCUCACCUAGGCGACGAUCCCUAGCUGGUCUGAGAGGAUGACCAGCCACACUGGAACUGAGACACGGCCCAGAGUCUGACGGGAGGCAGCAGUGGGGAAUAUUGCACAAUGGGCGCAAGCCUGAUGCAGCCAUGCCGCGUGUAUGAAGAAGGCCUUCGGGUUGUAAAGUACUUUCAGCGGAGAGGCGUUACCCGCAGAAGAAACACCGGCUAACUCCGUGCCAGCAGCCGCGGUAAUAC
rnacentral:rRNA from 1 species